rnacentral:lncRNA from 1 species
CUCACUCACUCUAAAAACUGUACAGUUCAAUACAGAAAUACAAUAUACAAAGAACAGAGAACAAACUGAAAAAAUUGAACGAGAGCCACUGAAAGACAUCACCAACGUGCAGACGGAAAAGAAAAGGACCCAAAAGAACACCAAAAAUGGGCAACCAGCCCGCAGAUGCUUCGAGAUAUUUAGAGGAUCUAACUGAUGGGCGGACCAGAGUGAGUGUCAGAGAGGAGCCAGGGAAGUGUCUUUAACAGUUUUGCCGAGUCCAGACAGGAGUCCGAAUAGUAUUAUCAUGUUCAUGGUUAUUUUGGAAAUCUGCAGAACUCAUACAGAAUAGAGAAACACACAAAAGACACAAUCUUAAACCGCAAGAAAUAAACGACGAAUUUAAUUUUUAUUGGGGUGGGUUGUGU